rnacentral:rRNA from 1 species
AAUCAACGCUGGCGGCGUGCCUCAGACAUGCAAGUCGAACGCGAAAGUCCCCUUCGGGGGAUGAGUAGAGUGGCGCCCGGGUGAGUAACACGUAGGUAAUCUACCUUCGGGUGGGGAAUAACACCGGGAAACCGGUGCUAAUACCGCAUAAUGCAGCGGCACCACAUGGUGACAGUUGUUAAAGCGGGGGAUUUUCGAACCUCGCGCCUGAAGAGGAGCCUGCGGCAGAUUAGCUAGUUGGUAGGGUAACGGCUUACCAAGGCGACGAUCUGUAGCCGGCCUGAGAGGGCGGUCGGCCGCACUGACACUGACACACGGGUCAGACUCCUACGGGAGGCAGCAGUCGGGAAUUUUGGGCAAUGGGCGAAAGCCUGACCCAGCAACGCCGCGUGAAGGAUGAAAUCCCUCGGGAUGUAAACUUCGCAAGAAUAGGAAGAAUUAGCGAGCGCUAAUACCGCUCGUGAUGACGGUACUAUUUGUAAGCUCCGGCUAACUCCGUGCCAGCAGCC